AGUUUGAUAGGCUAGGUUACGUUAGUUUGUUAAUUAGUCUGGCAUUUACUCGGUGUUUGAUAGCUUAGGCAAAUAAUCAAUUUGGCCCGCAGCAGCCCGAAGGCCCGCAGUAAUUCGGCGGUUUCAUCUCGUUCAAUAAUCCAGCGGAGGGUGCCCGUUAACUUUAAUCUGCUGCUACAGUGCAAGUUUAAAAAAUUCAAAUUUCAUUAUUGCCCUUCCAAAAUCGAUUAAAAAAAAUUGGGAACAGCAAAUCAUCCAAUUUCUUCGUCAUUGUCAUGGAGAAGGGCUCCGAACAUCUGAUCCUGGUGAUUACGACUGUGGCGGGCGCCCUAGACUACGGCGGCGAUCAAGAGCUUGAGAUCGAACAAGAUCGAGAUGACGGCUCUUCAAGAUUACUUCAUCGAGGAUAGAGAAACGGAGAGCAGCAAAACUUUGCAGUCGGCAACAACCACCUCAAGUUGACAGACUUUUGUUAGUUUGUUAUUGCUGCAUUAUUUUCUUUGCUAGUUUUGUUUGUUGUGUUUGUGAUGAACAAGAAUAAUCUUGCUGUGUUUGUGUAUUCACAUUUUGUGGUAUUUUGGAGCUAAUAGAAUGAUGAUUUUGUUU